GGUUUGAUCUUCUUGCAGUCCAUGGGACUCUCAAGAGUCUCCUCCAGCACCAUAAUUCAAAAGCAUCCAUUCUUCGGCAAUCAGCCUUCUUUAUGGUCCAGCUCUCACUUCCAUACAUCACUACUGGGAAAACCAUGGCUUUAACUAUACGGACCUUUGUUGGCAAGGUGAUGUCUCUGCUUUUUAAGAUGCUGUCUAGGUGUGUCAUGAAGACAGAAGUGCCUGGCGUGCUCUGGUCCAUGGGGUCACGAAGAGUCAGACACGACUAAACGACUAAACAACAACAACAGGUUUGUCAUUGCUUUUCUCCCAAGAAGCAGGCG